UAGGUUUGUAGUGUGACUGCAAAAUGAUUGACAGAAUUAGCUGGGUGGUUCUUAACUCCUCAGAAUCUCUCGUUCUUACCGAUUGUGAAAGGGUGCAACUCUUUUGGCCCAUCAAGAUCCUCGAAUUCCUUGCUAUGAUUAUGGAUCUGUCAGAGUUAUCGAGCUUUGUUGAGGGCAUUGAAGCCUUGGUUUUGUCUGUCCAUGUGUGGGCUUAUGUUUGGUGCUCGUGCUCUGCGAAUAGGUUGGCCCAUUGUUUGGCUCGGGAUGCUCUGGUGCAUGGUAAUUGGGGAUUGUUUUGUUCCUGUCUCUAUCUCUAAAGAGGGGGGGUGGGGCUUCCUAUGUUUUCCUGAAUGGAUUCUUCUCCUCUACCUUUGUUGGUGAAGCUUGUGUCCUUGGUUAGCUGUGGGGGCUCAAAAUGCUCUCUUUACUAUAUUUUACAUGUUCUUUUUUGACAAAUUAUAUAGGCCUCAAAAUAUACAUCUU